GGAAGGUUGGUCGAGAGGCUUAAGACACAACUUUGCUAAAGUUGAGGCGUACGCGUCCAAGGGUUCGAAUCCCUUAUCUUCCU
rnacentral:tRNA from 3 species